CAGAGUUGCAAAACUCCCAACCAUUGUGAACCUACCUCACCGUUGCUUCGGCGGGUGGCCUGCUAACGCGGCGCCGCGCCGGCUCCACCUUCGGGGGUGCCCGGCAACCCGUCAGAGGACCGAACCUCUUAGUCAUCUUGGCCUCUCUGAGUAACUUAUACAAUAAGUCA
rnacentral:misc_RNA from 1 species